rnacentral:rRNA from 1 species
AUUGAACGCUGGCGGCAGGCCUAACACAUGCAAGUCGAACGGUAGCACAGAGAGCUUGCUCUCGGGUGACGAGUGGCGGACGGGUGAGUAAUGUCUGGGAAACUGCCCGAUGGAGGGGGAUAACUACUGGAAACGGUAGCUAAUACCGCAUAAUGUCGCAAGACCACAGAGGGGGACUUUCGGGCCUCUUGCCAUCGGAUGUGCCCAGAUGGGAUUAGCUAGUUGGUGAGGUAAUGGCUCACCAAGGCGACGAUCCCUAGCUGGUCUGAGAGGAUGACCAGCCACACUGGAACUGAGACACGGUCCAGACUCCUACGGGAGGCAGCAGUGGGGAAUAUUGCACAAUGGGCGCAAGCCUGAUGCAGCCAUGCCGCGUGUAUGAAGAAGGCCUUCGGGUUGUAAAGUACUUUCAGCGGGGAGGAAGGCAAUGCGGUUAAUAACCGUGUUGAUUGACGUUACCCGCAGAAGAAGCACCGGCUAACUCCGUG